rnacentral:rRNA from 1 species
UACGAACCCGACAAACGUUAUUCGGAAUUAUUGGGCUUAAAGGGUGCGUAGGCGGUGCGGUAAGUGCGGUGUGAAAUCCCUCGGCUCAACCGAGGAAUUGCGCUGCAUACUGCCGUGCUGGAGGGAGACAGAGGUAAGCGGAACUGAUGGUGGAGCGGUGAAAUGCGUUGAUAUCAUCAGGAACACCGGUGGCGAAAGCGGCUUACUGGGUCUCUUCUGACGCUGAGGCACGAAAGCUAGGGUAGCGAACGGG